rnacentral:rRNA from 1 species
GGCCGCGGGAAUUCGAUUCAGGCCUAACACAUGCAAGUCGAGCGGUAGAGAGAAGCUUGCUUCUCUUGAGAACGGCGGACGGGUGAGUAAUGCCUAGGAAUCUGCCUGGUAGUGGGGGAUAGCGUUCGGAAACGGACGCUAAUACCGCAUACGUCCUACGGGAGAAAGCAGGGGACCUUCGGGCCUUGCGCUAUCAGAUGAGCCUAGGUCGGAUUAGCUAGUUGGUGAGGUAAUGGCUCACCAAGGCUACGAUCCGUAACUGGUCUGAGAGGAUGAUCAGUCACACUGGAACUGAGACACGGUCCAGACUCCUACGGGAGGCAGCAGUGGGGAAUAUUGGACAAUGGGCGAAAGCCU